rnacentral:rRNA from 1 species
UCCUACCGGAGGCAGCAGUGGGGAAUAUUGCACAAUGGGGGAAACCCUGAUGCAGCGACGCAGCGUGCGGGAUGACGGCCUUCGGGUUGUAAACCGCUUUCAGCAGGGAAGAAGCGCAAGUGACGUACGUGCAGAAGAGCC